AGGUAGCCCGGGGCUCGAGUCUCGAGUCGAGCGGAAGGCUCCUACGGAAAAAUUUAAAUGAGAUAUUUUUACAUAGUAGUAAUUUCUAAUUACUAAGAAUGCUUAGUUUAAAAAAAUUAUCUUAAAUGAAUAUGCAAAGCAAACUAUAUAAAUCUGUCUGCUCAGCUUUUCCUUACUGCAGAUAUUACUCAGAUCUUAAGUUUCAAAAUACUUAUAUACAUAAAAAUAACAAAUAGAGAUGAAGAAGACUGAAAUUUAUGGGGUAGAUAUUAUUUUAUAGAGUUAAUACCUAAUAGAAUCAGAUGCUUAAUUGAAUCAUUAUCAUAUACAAUUGUUUUAUUAUACACAAAAUAAACAUUAUCUGUGUAUCAUACUAGAGAAUAGUUAUUCAUAUUGACAUGUUUGUUACCCACCCAAACUCUCCUCUUUCUCUAGGCAAUAUAAUGAAUAACAUAGUCAGACAGAUGGGCAGAUAUACACACACAUGCCUCCUCCCCCGAAAUUAAGUAUUUUUCCAUAUUAUUUUCUGUAAUUAGUGUGUUAUUGAUGCUAACAUCCCCAACAUCUACUUUAGUUCAAUAGCUACCACUGAAAAUACAUCUGGAAGGGCCUAGGCAUAAAGUUCAGAAUAUAGAUAACUUGCCUGGCAUGCGUAACAUCCUGGCUUUCAUCCCCAGCAUCACAUAAACUGGGGUGGUGGCACAUAUCUGAAAUCUCAGAACAUUUAGAACUAGUACAAAAUGUUUGAAAGGAUCCUCCAUUUAUACUUAGAGUUCUAAUAUACCCAGGGACUUAUGAGACCUUAACUCAAAAAGCAAAACAAAGCAAACAGACAAAGUAAAUGAAAACAGAAUGGAAAAUCUUGAAGAGGUGAGAAGUAUAUACACUUGAUAUAUUCGGGGGAGGUGAUUUAUGAUGGCAAUCAAUCAUAAUACAUUCACUUACAAGCAGUACCCAAGCCAGCUUUAAACUCAAAAGAUAUCUCCAGUCCCUCUGAGCUCAAAAGGUUUAUGAUUUUGAAAAUUUUAUCAUCCUAAGGACAAGGAAAUAUUAAAUCUCCUUCAUUGCCCAAGGGCAACCACUGGCAUUAUGAUUCUGCACAUGGAGCACACAACCGAUUUAGCAAUUGUCAUGCUUGGCUCAAACAGUGUGGGGGACAGCCAAAAAUUGGAAUGGUCUGGCAUGGUUGUCAGUGUGUUUCUAAGAAGGUGGUAUGAGUUGGGGAGCACAGGCAGAGGAGUAGGCAGAAUCAGCAAGAUAUGGCUUCCAGUGGAAGUGUCUGAGGACUUUGGAAAUGUCUGCUUUGAACUUUAAUUCAAUGAUGAUGCAUCCUGAAAAGAAUCAGGGCUGUAUCCCUGGGACACGAAGGAGACAGGACAAUUAGUUAAAAUCAGGAUUCAGAUGAAAGGCAGGACAAUUACUUCAGGAACCUCCAUCUCUCAAAAUACAUUCUGGCUUAGGCUAAAGAAAAACUCUGGCAGUAAAUAGUUGAAGCUUCAGUAGUGUGAAGUGCUAUGGAGGGUCUCUUGAAUCCUGACCAUUCUUUCUCGGUCUCAGCUUAAACAAUAAAAGUUUUAAAAUAACUAAUGAGCAUGGAGUUGAGAAAUCUUAGAAGCCCCACAACAUUUUUCCUGAAUAUUCCCUUAACUGAGUCAUUAAUGUAAUACAUUCUAUUGAUUAUGUUUUGAAGUGGAUCAACUGAUAUAUAAUUUUUGUGUUUUUAUGAAUAAGAUAAUAAGUGCAAAUGUAUAAAGGGAGGGCCUGUGGUCGCUGUAUAGUUGAAUGUAAAAGGAUUACAUGACAACUUACACGAUAUCCCUAUAGCCACACUCCAACACUUUGACUCCUUCCUACACCUUCUGCAUCGCUACCUCUGAUUCCAGUUUAUUUUUAAAGAUUUGUUUGUAACAAUUCAAUUAAUGUGUCCCUUGCAUAGAGUGGAAUCAGUGGGGAUUUCUGAUGGAAUCUGUUAGGUGAGAACUGUCUUCAAGGAUAGGAGAGCCCGCUAAGGAAUCAAACUUCCUCACAUGAAGCAAUUAAGUAAUGAUACCAAGGAACGACGCUCAAUUAAAUAUUGUCAAGUAUCAUAAUUAUAUAUUUCAAAUGAUGACUCCUGUUCAUAGAACUAGCCAGAGUUAAUUGAUCAUUUUUGAAUAAUUUACUGGAAGAGUAGAUGAAUAUAAUUUAUCUUUGUCUGAAUUUUCUCAGUUAGGUCACUGAACCCUUUUCAUCGCUUAAUAACAUUCGUAGGCAUGCAGCGUUAUUAACCCUCAUUUCCUCUUGGUUUGCCUGCAGAUGCAGCUGUCGAGUGAUCCCUAUAUUUUAGCUUAGGUAUAACACUCUGAUUAACCAGAGGUCAAACUAUGGCUGAUCACUAUCAUUCUGAAUUCAUCUUGGAAUACAAGAAUAAAUAGAGAAAGCUAAGGCGUUCAGCACAGCUACAAGUUGGUACCAAGAGGAGAUCUAUAUUUUAGGUCUCAACCAAACUAGGUUAAAAAUUCUAUACUAUGAACAAGCAAACCAUUAUCUAUCUCUGUUUCCAGGAGCUAAUGAGAAAGGGCAGAAUCAAAGAGCUCAGAGUUUCAGACUUGCCCUAUUGAGGCAAGCAUUCUGUGCACAAAUACUAUGAGAUAGAUAUUUAGCAAUUCAUUAUGAGAGAAUGCAGUAUAUAAUAAUUGAUAACAUUUGUCAUGUGCUGUAAGAAAAGCUUAAAAUGAAAGCAUGUUUUAGAGAUAAAAGACAUCAUGUGCAGUUAUCUGAAUGUUUUACUUCAAGCUACAGCCCAUUCUCUGGUAUGUCCACCAGAGACUCUUUCCAUAUUAGUCCACUGAACUUCAGAUUUAUCUAAUGACCCACCAUCAGUAUGAGUGCUGUCCCAAGCAGACAGUGCUUUGUAAGCUGGUUUGGAAGGCUUUUUUCCUCCUCCCACCUCUGCUUAGAGCUGUUUCUACUCUUCAGUUUCUCUGCACCUCUCUCUUGUUUGGGAGAGUGCUGGCACUUCCUCCUCCUCACUCAGGAUCUGUGUUACCUAUGUUCUUUAAUCAAGCUCUUUGUAUGCAUGCAUAAGGCCGCUGAUCUCUGCUCACAUAAUAUGCUAGACCAAGACCUAUGUUGCCCAGAUACUAAUAAAAUGAUUUGUGCACCUUAAAGGUUCCCGCUGUGCUUGUAUCCUUAAUACCAGGAUGUCUUAGAAGUAAGGGCAUGUUUUGUAAGAGAAGUAGAUGUUUGAGUUCUGAUAUUUAGUGUUGGUAUAUGCUUCUUCUACUAACAUAAGUGAGAGAAUAAAAUGGUGAAUCUCAUAAGCAGACUACAGAGCUAAUGAAGAAUCAUGCCACAGUGCCUGAAGGAUUAGCUGAAAUUCUGCAGGACAAUCUAUAAACAUGAAGACAGAUUGAUGAUGGAUCAUUUCCUUACUCUGUGAUACAAGAGAGGAUGAUUAUCAUGUGUUGCAGCCCUUGUGCUAUUUAAAUAAAGGAGGUAGAUGGUGGUGUCCAAAAUGGACUUCUGGUUAAACAUUUUCAUGAAGUUGUUGGAUCAUUUCAAGGUCUCAAUAUGCAUUCCUGCAAAGUACAUGUGAACCACGGGGUAAUCAGUUUACUACUACUUUUGCCUUCCAGUGGCAAUCCAGAUGAACACAGAGCAGAUCCUGGGGCAGGGGUUUUUUUCUUUAAUUAGUUUGCCCCUGGCAUUCAUUCUGUUGUUUCUAAUGGCAUAUUUCUCUGAUUAUUGGCAUGAGUCUGUCUAGUUCAGGCGAUUUACCCCUGGCUUUGUUUGCUAGAGGAGAAAUGUAAUUGCAUAUCAUGUGAUUCUAUGCGCUAGGGUUGGAGCAGUAUGUAUGUGAUUUUGCUGACUCUGGAAAAUUCCUCAGAAUCCUUUCCCUACCAUAGCCUUGGCCAGCCUUGUCUGUAUUCCCUUGGCUGGUGCUGAAGCCAUCGUUUCAUUAUUCAGGAACCAUUGUGUCCUCAUUCUGUGUCUCCUUUCUUCAGAUGUCGUCUAGCUUCUCAUCACUUCUGUAUUUAACUGCGUCUCGACUGGAGGGGGGUGGGCACACUGCUCUCACUCCAGGGAUGCCAGGCCAUUUUUUUUCUCUAUUCCUAUUUCCCAAUUCAGACUCCUAAUCUCACCUUUGAUGCAAAUUGUUUCAACAAGCCCUCAAUCAUUCUUCAGAGAAGUCAGAGGAAAGUUCUUCCCACAGAGAUGGGGGAUGUUUUCUGGAUGAAGCCCUGACAUAGUUUCAGGGCUGAUAUUUAGUGUUGGUUUAUGCUUCUUCUACCACCUAGACAUCUAAAGAGAAGAGACACAGACUGAGCACUAUGGUUGUGCACAGUGUCAACACUGAGUGUUUGUCUUUCUCUGACACUUUCGCCUGUGUGGGUCUCUGCUGCCUGGUCUACCCCAGGCAACUACCUUCAUAAUUCAGUGACAGCAGGAUGUAUUGGACAUUUACACCUUGGUUUGACAGGAAGCCAACCUGACUUUUGGUUAUUUGCUCACCUUGAUUUGCUUCUUUACUUGCUUACACGGUUUUCUUAAGUAUUUCGGUAUCAGUCAUAACAUCUGAAGUAAUCGAAUGCAUGCGGAAACCCUUUUCUAGCCUUUCAGCCACAUCCCCAGCCUCUAAGCUCCCUAAAGCAAUCCCAUUUAAUACUGUGGUCUAUGCUUUUUCUAGGUUCUUCAUGUUUAUACAAAAUAUACAGGCAAGUACUCUGGAUCAGAAAGCAUAUAAUUUAUAGUUCACUUCCUUAAGCCUAUUAGGGUAAUGAUUUUUCUGCCUGUGUAUUGUAUGUGUGUUUGAGUGUGUGUGUAUAUGUGUGUUUGAGUGUGUGUGUGUGUGUGUGUGUGUGUGUGUGUGUGUGUGUGUGUGUGUGAAAGAGAGAGAGACAGAGAGAAAGAGAGACAGAGAGACAGAGAGACAGAGACAGAGAGAGAGAGAGAGCAAUGCUAGAGACUGAACCCAGGACCAUGUGGGUGCUAAGCUACACCUCUGUCCUUGCCUACUUGCUGAAAUACAUCUCUCCCCACUGAGCCCUUUCUUUAUGCUAAUUAAAGUUAGGGUAACCAGCCACCUAAACAAUUAGGAAUUCAGUAUUUAUAACUUAUAUAACUAUCUGCCUUUUUUCUUUGAUCACAUUCAUAAACUAUCAAACACUAUGAAUAUUUACAUAUACUACUCAUGAAUUAUUUUGUGCGUAUGGAUGUGUCUCUACCUUCUAUGAAGGUCAUGAAUGUUUCAAGGAAUAUGUCUAUAAACAUUCAUAUGCAUAUUUAAUUACUUAUUUGGAACAUUUUUGUAUGUUAUGCUAAUUAAUCUCACAAAUGAACUGUACUGUAUCUGACUCAUUUUAUAAAACAAUUAGUCAUAUAACAAUCCAGAUAUACAGUAUGAUACAUACCAUACACAAAACCUUUUUGAAUCCCUAGUGCCAAGAAAAAGGGAUGAAAAGAAAAAUUAAUUACAAUGUAUUCUACAGGAAGGAUUCGACAUUAUAUUGACUUGUGCUGUGCAAUAUUAGCAUAUUGAGUUGUACUCUCUAUUGAGAGAUACAUAAAGACUUUGAACAAUGUUUUUACAUGCUGGUAGAUUUAUAAAUCAUAAAAACAACAUCCAGAUUCUUGGUUAUCUUUAGUCCACACCUUUUUAAAAUGUUUAAUAUCCAUUAUUAUUUUUAAUUCUUUGUAAUGGUUCUUAUCACUACAUAUGUCUUUAUAUUCACUCUAUAAAUAAAGCAGAGAAAACAGAGGCAAAGAACAUUUGAGUAACUUCUAGUAACUUUCCUUGAGUUAUAAGUCUGCUAAGAGGCUAAGUCAGGGCCCACAUAGCUAGAGACUGCUUUCUCAGCUAUUAGUUUUCUACUGUAGUACUGGCCUAUCAAAGAUAAUAUACAUUUUGAAUACAGUAGCCAUUUAUAGUUAAUUCCCCAAAACAUUUUACAGUUCUUACUGAUAUCAUCAAAUCAUAAGGUUUUCUAUUUCCUUUUUCCACUUCAAGAAAUGUUAGAUGUUUUCCUGUUCCUUUAGUAAUACUUAAAAACUUGCAGGAGCAAUAGGUUUAAAAAAGAACUUUUUGAACAUAGUAUCUAUGGCCAUAGUUAGGUAUUGAAGGAUAACUGAUCAUACUGUAAACCCUGAGACUGUGUUAAUAUCCUAGAGAAACCUGUUUCUAGCAGUGUGGCUCAGCCUUAAAACACACCUUUAUUCCAAGAGCUUUCUGUUUAUUGUUAACAGGAUUAAAGAAAGUCAACCACAGAUCAAGAGACAGAGCAAUCAGAUGACAGGGAGUGAACAUAAGGGGAAAAAAUGAUACAGAGUAAGAGGAAGUCAGGAGGAUGGCUAGAGAGAUGUGCAGGAAGUAGAAAUGAGGAACAUUGAAUUUGAGGGCUUUUGCUACAGUGUAGACAGGGAGAACUUACUUUUCCUUUUAGGACAUGGGCUGAGGAAGGUCAGCUGGGUGCUUUCUCUGCCUCUCUGAACUAGCAGGCUUUCACCCCAGCAUCUGGCUCCAAGUCUUUAAUGACAAAACCAAAUGAUUGAGAUUUUUGUUAAAAACAACACUUAGAGAUUAUUAUUUGUAUAUUAAUAUUAAUUUCCUAGGAGAAUAUGCCUGUUACAAUACACCCAGUGAAAUGGAAGUGUAAGCUAGUUUCUAAUUACUAUAUAACCAUGAAUGUCUAAUUUACACAUUGCACUAUAGGGAUAAAAAAUAUGGUCUGGUAUAUAUAGUGUUACAUACCUGUAACCUCAGCAUUUCGGAGUUUGAGGCAGGAGGUUUAUGAAUUUGAUGCCAACCUGGCCUUCCUAGGGAGAAAUUGUCUCGAACAAAACAAAGCAAAUUUAAAGUAAAACAAACAAAAAUUAGGCAUGUUCAUUUUAAAAUAACAACCCAAAGUAAUUGAUUUCAUUAUUUCUGCCAUUUGCCUUCCCAGCCCAACCCUCCUCCUACUAAACCUCUACCUGCCUUGGAUUAGCUCUAGUCUGCUGUUGUGUGAUGUGUGUUCUGUUACCCUCUUUUCUCCCAAUCCCUCUUAAGACUCACCACCUCAUCUUGUUACAGUUUCAUGAUCUAUACUCUCCAUACACACAUCUUAAAAACUAGAGUAUUUGUAUCUAUGAUUCUAGGUUAAUCCACUUAUAAUAAUUUCUGGACUAUCCAUUUCGCUCCUUUCUCCAUGGUCUGUUGAUGGGCAUUGAAGCUGGUUAUAUCCUGCCUAUUGUGGAUAGUGAAGCAGUGAACAAGGAACUCUGAGCUACAAUGUAAAGUCCCUUGCAUAUAUGCCCAGGACUAAUACAGUUAAGCUUAUGUAAUUGUCUUGGUGCUGUUGUUUAUAUGAGAUAGGACAAUUUAAUCUAUGAAUACUACCUGGCUUGUUAGAGAGAAAAGAAGGUGACUUCAUGGCAGUAGAAUCAUACUGCCAGUGUGGGUCCCUGUAUUGACCCACACUGUAUUCAAGGUCUUACUGGUCUAGACAGUGAAUUCAUGAAAAGCUCAGGCUACAUAGAAGACUCUGUCUCACAAAACCAAAUAAUAAAAGAAUCAUACUGCCAAGAAUCUGUGAGGUUCAGCAUUUGGUGCUAAAUUAAAAAAUUGUGUAGCAACCCAUAUGAUAAAUUUGCAAGUGUGAAAUUGUAACUGUUUAUUCAAAAUGGAUCAAACACAUGACAAUUGUAUGGACUUUAAACAACCGGAUAGACAUUGCAAACUGUGAGCUAUGAAAACUGACACAAACUUUAUCACUGGAAGAACUAUCAAUUUUACUCUCUAUAGUAAUUUAAAUUUUUUAACUUAAAAUAAUUUUAUGUGAAGAAUGUCUCCAUGUGUGUUUAUUCUCCACAUGUAUUCUUGGUAUAAGCAGAGAUGAGAAGAGAACUGAUUGCCUGGAAGUGGCAAUAUAGGCAGUUUUAAACCACCAUCCAGUAGCUAGAUGUUGAUUGAACCUGGUUCCCCUGAAGAAACUAAAUGUAUAUGAAAUUAUGUAAAGGAUAGAAUGGGGGGAGAGGGAGAGAGAGAGAGAGAGAGAGAGAGAGAGAGAGAGACAGAGACAGAGACAGAGACAGAGACAGAGACAGAGAGACAGAGAGAAUAAUUUAGAACCAGAUGGGAAAAAGGAAGAAUAAUUAUGAAUGUAUUUCUGAUACUUCUGAUAUGAUUCUUCAGGCAAUAGGCAUCAAUUCUCAAUUCUCCGUGCACACAUUAAAUUGCUGCCUGACCAUGCUAAAUGAGACCAAAAUUAAUUUGCCCAUAAGUCUGAAGAGAACCAAUGUUUGUUUUCCAAAGCAAUUACUUGACUGACCUGCCAAAUGUGGAAAUUCUUCUUCAUGUUAUGUGUUAGGAAAGGGAAGAAAAGCCACAUUUUCUACUAAAGCAGCCGACUUAGGUCAUUACCAGAGACCACUACACAAAGAGUGAAUAAAUGCAAAGACUAUUAUUGUUAUGGUUGUUAUAACUUUCUUUGUUUAUUUCGUAUGCUUAAGAUUUCCAUGACUUUUGAGUUGAGAAUGUAGCCUUAAAUAUGUUAGAAUAUGUAAAUUAUUGAAUUUUUUUCUCAGGGCCUCACUCACCUCUACUUGGGCCCAAAUUGGUUUUAUAUAUCAUCAUUUCACCCUACGUUAAAGGGUUUCACUUGAUAUUGUUCAGUAUAAAACUAAAUUAUUUUUAUGACAUAUUUACCAGUUCCAGAAACUGAUGCUAAGAGUAAGAAAGAUGAGCUAUAUUACUGCAUUUUUCUUUGUAUGUAAAUGAACAUGUGGAUUUUAAUGUGUUAAGUGAGGGGCAAGGAUACAUCACACAAAGAACAUUUGUGUAAAGUCAAAAGUAACACAUAGCAGGAACUGAUACAAGAAAAGUGCUGAGUCACUGAGCAUGGCCAAGGCUUGCUUUCUUGUCUCCAGUGGGCUUUAACUUGGGAGAUGGGCUACAGGAUGCUCGAAGUCAUUCGAAGCCUACAAAGUUAGUUGCUUCUGAGUCUUCAGAAUUCAAAUAAGGAAAUUCACCAACAAUUGAAAGAUGAGUUUAGAAAGAGGCUUCAUUACCAAUUUAGAGCAGGGAGCUUUCAUGGAAAAAACAAAACAAAACAAAACAAAAAAAAGACAGAGUUCCUGUACAGAGGAAGCAGGUAGUCAAAGACACGAUAUUAUGCAAUUACUCAUCUGAUGAUAUUAUCACAGUAAGUGGGAUGGGACAUGAUAUGAAGUGUUCAGUCCAGUAGGCCAGUAGAGAAGGUGUCCAGGUUCCUCCUCUCAGUUUUGAUCAAGUCCUCAGGUGAGACUGCUCAGUUAGGACAACAGAGAUAAUGAGAUACCAAAUGUGGAAACAAAACUCCCUUCUGUUAUUUCUGGCCUCUAGAAAGAAUAGAACCAAAGACUUAUUUUUUUUUUUGUUCCUACCCAAUGAAUUGCCUUAGAAUUGCCCUGAGAUUGCCUGAGCUUAUUUCAUCUCAUGGUCUUACCAGUUCUGUCAAUGUUGAGUGAAUGGACCUGAAGGACUUUGACAUAGCUGCCUGACAUGGAACAACAUACAUAACUGCUUCAUCAUCUUCAAAUCAAAAGCUUGAGACAAAGGUUUCCAGGGGCUCAGUAUCAUACACAAGUCAUAGAUGAGACACAAUUGAAAAAGUAAUGUUAUGAAUUAGUUCCAAAGGCUCACAAAUCCUCUAGUGUUCCAUUCUCGAAUCUGGUAAAACUAUCCUUUAAGAAAUCAAUCUUAUGUUCUCAACUUAAGGUAGUAAAACAAAACUUAUUAGGCAUAUGUGUGUGUAUAAAACUUUAGAAAUCUCAUUAACAGGCACAUCUAACAAUGUAAAGUAGCAUCCAUCUUCUUGACAUGCUUAUCUGUAGAAAUAUGGUUAUUUGCUAUCAAAGGCAAUUGUAUUUUUCAUAACUUUUGAUUGAGUAGGAAGAAACUAAUCUUUUUAGGCACUAUAUCCAUUUUAAUAAUUUAUAGCUAGAUGUUAUAAUUAGUAGAAUAUCUUUUGAAUUUAUUUUCCUCAUCUAAUUCAAAAAUACAUUCUUGCUUUAAUUGAGUGCUGGCCAGCCAUGUUUGCCUAUUCUUCAGGUAUGGCAUUCACAGUAAAGUUACACUGGUAAUAAGCAAUUCAGUUUUCUGUGUGCUUCUCUGUAUUGUAUUGUAUUAUUUAAAGGUUGCUGAAGAGAGACAAAAUAUGGAAAGCAAGAGAGACUUAAUCUGAUAUUAGGUAGGAUCAUGUAUAUUCAUAAUGAGAGGAUAUGCUGACACCCAAAUGUGUGUAUGGUCAAAAUGAUUACACAGGAAGAUGAGAUGUGGCCUCCUUUGGGGCAGAAAUUGCUUUUGGAUAGUCUGCAAGGGAAUCUGGGAAAUGUAGUCUUUUAGCAGGAAACUACCACUCUGGGUUUUAGAAAUGUGGUUGUUGUGGGGGAUUUGGAAAAGAAGUUAAGACAGAACUACCCUUGAGGAAUGAGCAUUUUCACCCAAGGAGCCAUGAUCAGCUCUGGAGGUCAGAGAUGAUAAAAAAGAUCAGUACACUGUCUUAGAAACAAUGAAUGGGGCCUUCAAGGGAGGACAGGACUCCCUUUAAACUUUUAAGAGGAGUUUCAGUAAGAGUGAUAUCUGUAAGCAAGAGCAAGAAAAAUAAUCAUCAUGGACAGGAGGACAGAUCUGUAAAGGGGAGACAGACAGAGACAGACAGAGGCAGACAAAGACAGACACCGAGACACACAGGAACAAAAAUGAGAACCAGAGACUGCAUGAAUGAGCUUGGGGGUGGUUGUGGCCUGAUUUCUAUUAGCUAUAGGAUGUGGAAUCUAGCCGUGUAGGGUGCUGUGUGUCUUACAUGGGAGACCAGUGAUUAAUUCUUGGUUCAUUGAUUUUGUCAUGCAGGCAUGACAAUUCUCUAGGUUUAGUCACUGAACCCACAGCUGUCAAUGAUGAGACUAAUUUUCUUAAAUACUUUGUUUCUCUGAGCUCGAUAUUAACGUAUUUUAUUUUGUAAAAAACAGUUCCUUGGAUUACUAAAUCACAGAUGCAUAGAACACAACGAAAUGGACAUUCCAGAAAAGAUCAUUGCAAAUUUGGAAAUCAUGAGGAAAAACUAAAAUUUAUGUAAAUUAAUGAGAUAGUGAAUGCGGCCUUGUUAGUGACUGUAACUAAAUACCCACUUUGCAGUUCCUUGGUCUCUCUGGAGAGGUUCCAUUCCAAUGAUUGUCAUGCAAAUACAGUCUUUACUUCUCUGCUCCUUUUCAGAAAGAAGAUUGACACACCCCUAAGCCUUGAACUUGGAGCAGCUGUGUGAUGAGCAACAUCACUCACCCAAGACACAAGUCUCUACAUCUGAGAGAAAGGAUCUGUUCAGGCCACUUUCACAGUUGGGUACAGCCAACACCAGCAAUGACUGCACAUCUGGCUGCCACAAGGCUCCUGUUGUAUUAACAGCUAAGGUUGACUGAAAUCAACUGCAUUUUGUAAUCAAAGCCUUCCUCUGUAAGUUAUAAUUUUUCAAACAACAACAACAACAGCAGCAGCAAACACACAGACAAACAGACAGAGAUCCAAAAUGUUUACAUCAAACACAUGUUGCCAAUGUGAUUGCUGCCCGUGUGUGGAAACAUUCCCUAGAUCAUGUGAAUGACUGCACUUGAGGCUAAAGUUCUUGGAAGAGUUCUAAGAAGCCGACAAAUGGAAAGCGGAAAAUUACUCAGGAACUGCUGUUUGGCAACUACAACUGUUAGGCUGUAAAAUAAACCUUCUUUCAAUUCAACCCAAGUAAGUUUAAUGUUUGUGUUUAUUUGAUGUGACAAUUUUCACAGGCACAAGAGAUGGAGUCACUUGGUUAAGUGCUUGCCUUAGCAUGCUAAGACCCUGAGAGUAAACCCAGAAAUGAAUAAGCUGGCUAUAUUGACACAUGCCUGUAACCCAAAUACCCUGAAGCAGGAGGCAGAAGGCAGGAGGACUAGAAGUUUAACGUCAUCUUUGGCUUUAUAAGAAGUGAAACCUAGGCUAUUCUGGACCAGAUGGGACUCUGUCUUAAAGCACACACACACACACACACACACACACACACACAGUGACAGACAGAGAGACAUAGAGAGACAAAGAGACAGAGAGAGAGACAGAGAAACAGAGAUAGAGAAGCAGGCAGAAACAGAAACAGGAAGAAUCAAAACCAAAUAACUUUCAUAGAAAAAUGUUCUAAGUUUGAAAAGACUUUUUGCUGUUAAUUUGUAUGUAAUCUCUAAUCUUGGUGGCAAUAUUCUGUAGGUGGCUGCUUUAGUUGCUUUAACCCUUUUAGUUACUUUAACCCUAAAAAGAGCAAGAGAUUGAAGAGCAGUAGUAGUAGGCUGAAGUGGGAACUGAAUUAGAAAAUGUACACUCCGAGUUUAGCACAAAGCUUGUUAAUCUCACCACAUGUUUCUAAUUAUUGCAUAAGUGGAUGUGUUUAUAAGAUGUAUUAAAUUGGAUCUACAUGUUUAGCAUAUUAUUUAAAGCAAUCUCGUUGUUCAUGUGUUUCACUAAACCAAGAGUAGCUUAUUCUGCAAUAUUAUGAACAGUGACAUUUAACGUUAUCAAUAAUUAUUAAAUUAUUUUGAAAACAUUGCAGUUUUGCACUUAAAGAUUUGAAAAUCGAGAUCCAUUUGAUUUUAUUUCCAUACAUAUCCAGUAAGAGUCGUAUACUGUAGGAUAAUGUCAGGUUGUUUCUAUGUUAAAUAAUAAGAAUUGUUUACUUCACAUUUUUAUUUCAAGUAUAGACCAUAUAUAUUAAUUUAGUACGUGUGAAUGUGUUAGGGUAUGUAUGUGUAUGAGUAUCUCUGUGUGUGUCUGUGUGUCUGUCUGUGUGGGCAUGUGUGUAUAUGUAAAACAGAAAUGAACGCUUGGUACCUGACUUUGUUGUGCUCUGCAUUUGGGGGGACUGGGGACCAGAGUCUCUCAGGGAAUCUGCUCCUUGCCAGUUUAGCUGGGCUGGCUGACUAUUGAGCCUGAAGAAAUUUCCUAUCUCUACUUCCUUAGCACCAAGAUUAAAGUUUGACAAAUCUGUGAGCAGCCUUUUUUGAGGUUCUGGAACUCUGACUUAAGUCCUCAUUGCUAACAUAGCCAGCACUUCCCUGACCAAACCAUCUUUCCAACUCCAAGUUUUGAAGGAAAUAUCUGUUUUCUUUGGUUUCGGUAUGAGGAACUGAACCCAAGGCUUUCCACCUGUAAGGCAAACACUCUCCUGUGAGCUAUAGUUACAGAACUCAAGGGGAAAAAAAGAAAAGAAAGAACCUUUAUAGUAAUAAAAAAACUGGAUAUCUUUUAUGAACAACAGUCAUCUUUCUUCAAGGCAAUGCUUAUGUAAAAUAGUGGUGGCCUUUCUGAUUUUAUACUGAUGUGGCAAUGUGCUGAUGGGCCCCUUUGAUGAAAAAGCAGCAAGAACUAUGCUGCUGUCACCUUUCAAAUCUUCUCUCUGGCAUCUAGCCAUCUUUAUUUAUUGUGACUGAUUCUCCUUUGUUUAAUAUAUUAAAUGUUAACAAAGGAUUCACAUUUUACAUGACAAUGUAAUCAUUAGGCAUGUGUGUAUAAUGCCAAAAUAAAUUAUCAGUAGUGCUAAUCUCUAAUUUGACUUUCUUUUGUAUGUUGGGACUAGAAUAUGCUAUUUAGAAACCACAGCGAGAACAUAUUUGUCAUUUUUGUGUUUCUCCUGUUCAGUCAUAUGCCUACUAAUUUAAAUCAGUGGAAAAAAAUUGUAUCCAAUUCUCCAUCUUCAAUUUCAGGCUUGAAAGAUAGAUCUCUGUGACCCAAGGAAUAAUAGCUUAGCUUAGAUUCUUCAUAUAAUAGGAGAUAGGUUAUGGAAGACGAAUAUUCUUUGCCUGGCAACUCUUUAAGACUCUGGUAGUUAUGGGGAGAAACUCACUUACUUUGGAUGAUGGAUUAUACUCUUGUCUCCCAAGCUUUGCAAAGGGAGGGUGAGUUGGAAUGUGAGCCUUGGGUCCUUGGAAAACCAAAACUCUAGGAAGGAAAUUGGAAAUGAAAGAGAGGUAGGGGACUCAUUGCCACAGAAAUGAGAACAAAGAAAGCAAACAACAGAGAACCUGGUGAAACUUGAUCAGAAACGAUUAAUCAUGAGUGCUCCCUGCUAUCCACAGGGCAGUUCAGAGAAACUUCUGAAUUCUCUUUGCCCUGAACCAUUUAUAAGAAUUCAUUUUCUGGGUGGUUUGUUUUGUUUUGUUUUGUUUUUAAAUUUUCUUUCUCCUCCCUCUUGAUCACUCUACAUUAGUGAUCAUACUAAAAACUGAUAUUAUUGUCAUUUCUUAGUGAAAAACAUAUGUUAAUGUUAGGAAUUGACAUUCUGAUUCAUACUCAACCCAUCCUUAGGAAUGAGCACUAUAGGUCAGUGCUCAUCGGACUAGACAAUUAAAAGAAAAAUGUUUUCAAGACACUUUAAUUUGUCUUGGGAUUGGAAAGAUGACUCAGCCAUUAAAGAGAACUUAACUGCCAGAGGACCUGAGUUUGGCUCUAGGCAGCCACGUUAUAUGGCUCACUAUACCCUCCAGCUCAGGCUCCAGAGGUGGCAAUGCCCUCUUCUUCUCUCCUUAGGUCCCUGCAUUCACUUGCACAUAUCCACAAACAGAUACAAACAAGCAUACAUAAUUAAAAACAAAAUAAAAUGGGAAAAAAAAUGUGAGCCAAAGAGUGCCAGAGAGCGGGGUAUGGAGAAGGAUUGAACAGACGUCUCGCUUUUGCUGUUUUCGGGUUUUGCUGUCAUGAAGUCAGUAUAAACUUAAACUUUCAUAUGAAAACACCAUAGACUAAAAAGUAGCAACCAUAAUAGAAGCCACGAAGAGAAAAUAUUAAUUCAGCUAAUAUUUUCAUGAAACAAAAGUAAGAUUAUUAUAAGCAUAGAAAAUUGGAUGUACUCAAGCAUUAGGCUAUUCUUAACAGCUGUAUUUUGGUAUUUCUAACAGAUAAUCUGCUAUGAAUUCAGCAAACUAAAGAACCAGGAGAAAACCAAAAAGAUUCCACAGAUGAAAUUAGGAAGGGGAAGAUACCCGGGUGCGGCAGCCCUUUGUUUGCCCUUGUUAUGUAGAAUUAGCAUACAGGUUUAGAAUUUUACCUCCUGCCAGAAAUAAAAAAUCUUCUUUAUCUCAAAGUCUGAGCAAUCUUGAUGCCCUUGUUGAUGGUAAGGCUUUUAAGAGGAAUGUGAGACUUGCCCUGUUUACUUUGUCAUCACUGGGGCAUCAGUAGAAUGGGAAAUAAGACAAGAUAGAAGCAGAGUAGUGGAGAACAACCAAGGAGGAAUGGAACCUUCUGUGAUUGAAAUGGUUUAAACAAUAUGGAACAGACUGUUAGACUGGCUUGAAAGUUACAUGUCACUGACCACUUGCUCCUUAGAUGUAUGUAGUUCAGGUGUACUACAGUGACAGUCUGAAUCCUCCUUAUAUAGCACACAAUUUUUGCCUUUCUAAAAGUAGGUGCCCAAUCAGUCCUUAUUAGUUAUACAAAUGAAUAAAAAUUGUAUAUAAUUAUGUAAGACGAACUCAGAGAUGAGAAAUAUUAUUAUGUCAUUGUUUUAUAACCAGGAACAUACUGAACUUUGGUGACUAUAAGGGCUGUAUUAUAUAUCAUGACAUCCUUAUAUUUGUUAUGUCCUCCCUGUUGAACACUUUUGCACCACCACUACAAAGGUAAUUGUUUUAUUUAUAAUAAGCAGAAGAAAAAGUCAAGCAUAGUGGCAUAUGUCUAUAAUCCCAGUAAUCAGAAACUCAGGACAGUAGGAUAGUGAGCUUGAGGCUAGGCAGGGGUACACGACAAAAUAAACAAACAAAUGACUAUAUAAGAAACAAACAAGACUUUUAGUCAGGAGGCAUUCAUUGUUAUUUUCUCACUGCAAUUUCUAAGGAGAUAAACAUGCACAAAGCUAACAAAAGGCACAGCUCCUCUGGAUACCCAGGAUGUCCUCUGCAGGAACUGGAUUUAACUGCUAAACAAAGCUCCAGACACCUUUGUGAAAAAUCUGUCUCUGAAUGAACUGUGUUUGUGUUUUAAAGGCAGAAACAGGGUCUGACCACAAUAAGCCACUCAGUGAUUCUAUAAUAAAAGAUUCAGAUUAAGCCAGAAAGAAAGGGUUAAAAAUAACUUUGUGCCUUCAUUUCUUACAUCUUCAUGAGUAACAAGGGAAGAGACUUAAUAAUCUGAGAGAAUGUUCUGAACAAGGCAAUGAAGUGGUCUCUACAUGAGCAAACAUUGACAGUCUGUGUUGUACACAUUUCUGAGAUCCUCAAUCACAGUCAAUGUUGAGUCAACACACCUGUUCCACGAUUUAACAUCAAUGUAGAAGCAAGGCUAGAAUAGACCUUAUAGGAGAAAGAAUUCACUUCCACAAGAGUCUAUGAACAUGAUGUAAAGAAUUAAGUCUUUGGCAGAAUGUCUAUGUUAGGAUAGCAAGAAUAUUCAUCUAGAUACAGAGAUGUAUGUGUUAGAUAGUCUGAAGCCUGGGAAUGGUUAAAUGCUAUUGCUUUCUUCUCUCAAUUGUUUGAUAAUAUCUCAAUUAGAUAUUUCUACCUUACUAAUAUACAUAUGUCAUGUUGAAGAAAGUUGCCCUAACCUCCCACUACUCGCUUUUACUGGGAACUUACUUCAAUUAGGAAGUUUUUCUUCUCAGUCUUCUUCUGUUCAGACGACUGUCACUCCAAUCUUACCACAAUAGAGUGAACAUCUAGUAACAGAAACCAACCUAUAAACUUACCCAGGUAGAACUAACCUAACACGACAGACUGUGGAACAGCCAUUUGCUCUGGAUGUUUACUGGGGAUAUUUCUACAAAAUGUUUUCAUUACCAAAGGAAAUUUGAAGCAGACUCUUACAGAGAACCAGGUAUUAAAACUCAUAAGAAGCUAAGUUUCAGAAUAACAACAAACACAACAAAGUCUGGAUUAACCACAUGCUAUGAAGCUGAAGAUAAAAAGAGAGGAUUUGGUCUCAGCAACAGGAAAAAAUAACUAGUGCUGGGGUGGUUGAUGUCAAAACAGCAGAGAAAACAACUUAAAGUACAGUUGAAAUUAAGAUAAGAUUUAGCCAGGGCAUGGUGGCGCAUGCCUUUAGUCCCAGCACUCGGGAGGCAGAGGCAGGCGGAUUUCUGAGUUCGAGGCCAGCCUGGUCUACAAAAUGAGUCUCAGGACAGCCAGGGCUACACAGAGAAACCCUGUCUCGAAAAAACAAAAAAUAAAAAUAAAAAUAAAUUUCAGGAUUGGCAACUCAUGGAAAAUAACUGUCAAAGAAUGGCAGAUGGACUAUAACUAAUUAUUGUUCUUCCUGCAAUCUGCUCUGAAAUAAUUCUUACUCUUACAAACAGAGUAUGAAAUGCAAUAGAAAUUUUCCUAUGUGUGUGCACUGCAGUGAUUCCAGCACUCAAGUAGCUGAGGCUGGAAGAUUAUGAGUUCAAGGUUAGCUAGUUUCUUACAGGCCAGUGAUGGAAACAUAAAGAGACACUACGUCAAAACUCAAGGACUAGGGAUUUAUCUCUGAGGUAGAAUAUGCACAUAAUGUCUACAGAUGCUUUGUUUUUUUCAUCCCCAACACUACUAAAGAAGGAAAGGAAGGAAGAAAGAAGGGAAGGAAGGAAGGAAGGAAGGAAGGAAGGAAGGAAGGAAGGAAGGAAGGAAGGAACGAAAGAACGAAGGAAUGAAGGAAGGGAGAGAGGGAUUCAGUAGAAAGCAUAGUCCCUUAAAAGGUCUUAUUCUUUCUGAUAAAGCUACUUGAAGUACCAAGUAUCCAGAUUAACUUAAAUGUCAAUUAAGACAGCUUCUACUUAACAUUUUCUCUAUCUCAGAUUAGUGAGUAUUGUCAAUUACACAAAACUAAUUGGGUUAUGUUUGUGGUUUUGAAAAAAUAUAAACCCUAUGCUCUUAGCUAGUUUAAUACAGUUUUCACAGAAGGAAGAGACAAAGGAGAAAUACAGGAAGUACAUUAACAAAGAAAUGAGAAGGGAUUGAAAGGAUGAAAGGAAGGAAAAAAUAUCAGAGUGUUUGGAUAGAAGAGAUAUGGCCUUCUGAGUAGCUAGCAAAGUCUACUAAGCCUUGAAUUUAAGCUUUUCUCGUGUAUGAAUCCUUUUAAAGUUACUAUCUGUCAAAACACCGCUAUUCAAUUUCAAAUAAUUUUCAUGUGCAAAUAUAAGGCAUACAUUUUCUAGGUAAGCAAUAUGUCUCCAAGGAUAACAUACAAUAAAUAUAUUUGAAUAGUGAUAAGAAUAAGAUGAUGUUUGCAUGUGACUUGUAUUCACAUAGAUAAGAAUUCAUCUCCCACUGAUACUUUCUUUUUAAAUAAAAGAAUGCAUAUACUUGCCUAUAGUACCCAAAUUGCAUCAAGGAAAAGCGUUUUCAUGUUCCUGGGUGAAUUCAUGUAAAAGAAGUAGGCUUAUUCCCACAUAACGACUCACUGGGGUAGUUAUAUCCAUUUCAAUGAUAUAAUAUAAUAAGAUGUAUUUUUAUAUUGGGUCAUAAAAUCACAAUGCCAGAAGUCACCAACAGUUUAUUCGGUUCUGAAUGGAUAGUAUAAGACAUUACUAAGGAAGGUGUAAAACCUCUUGAAUGUAUCUAAUUAUUCCAAGUUGUAUGCCCGAAGAAAAUAUUCUCAUGACUCCUGUUGAUUAGCUUAUGCCAUAAACUGAAUGGGUUGAGACCCUUGCAACGUAGCUCUGCUUCAGUGAAUAAUAUAACUACAGAUCUCUUUUAUUAUUCUAUAAAUACCAUGCCUUUCCUUGAACUAAUAUUGUGUUCAUUAUUAUGUCCUACAGAAAUUAUUUUCUAGUGUCACUACAACAUUUCAUAUAUCAAAUGAACAUUUCUAAAUAGUACAUAAAUGAAUGAAUUAUAAAGAACAUACCUUGGAACAAAAAGAUAUGUUGAAAAUGAUCUCAAAAGCCCAAUCUCACUACCAAACUCUACCCAGGUAUUUUUACCUCUUGGCCCAAAGAAAGAAUGAACAAAUUUUGUGAGUGUGUAUCUGUGUAUGUGUUUCUGUGUUUGUAUAUUUGUGUGUGUGUGUGUAAAGAGAGAGAAAUGGAAAGAAACACACAGAGAGAAACACAGAGAGAGAAACACAGAGACACAGAAACAGAGAGACAGAGACAGAGAGGAAGAAAACAGCCUCAAUCAUUGACUCAAAGACAUGACAUAGAAACAUAAGGUGUUGAACUCUGGGCUUUUUACUAAUUAUUUCUUCACCUUGCCUGAUAAAUAUCAGUCCUUCUCAACUAUUUUGUCAAUAAUAUAUACUUAUAGUUUUUAUCCUAGCUGUUUAGAAUAUUAACUGAGAGAGAGCCUAGAGGCCCCCAAGGAUAAUAAUCAGCAUACAGAAAAAGCUACUAUAGGUUAAUCUUCCUGAAACAAGCAAGAUUAUUCUUUAGGUCCUGAAGUGAUGAACCCUUUUCUUUGAAGGGUUUCUGUCUUAGCAUAUCUCCUUUGCAAAGACACUUUCACAAAGAAGCUAAUGAAAACAGGUAAGAUGUUUGAUACAGAAAAGCAUUUGCUCCGAAGCAGUCUGUCAGGAAAAUGCAUGCUCUACAUGUCCACCAUGAUGCUAAAGGUCUGAAGAGGUAAUGAGGGCAGACGAAAAAGGAAUGAGAUCGAGAACAGUAUGACUCAGGUGUGGUGGUCUGUUCAUUAAGAGCUGUAAUAUGCUGCAGACUUUGUUAGUGGUGUUCCUGUGAGGACUGGGGGUUUCUGGGUAUAUGAAGUGGAUGACACUUAAACAUACCAUGGGACAGAUAAAGAAUGAAACAGCUACAGGGUAGAGAGAAGCAAGUCAAAGUGAGAAAAAAAGCACAGACGUAGCAAUGCUUGGCUCCCAUUUUUUCCGAUCACUGUUUCUGAGCAACACAUCUAUCUAGACAAGGCAAUACUUCUGGUCUUUGCCCCUGGUAGACACACAACUCUAUGAAGAGACAAACGACUGGAAACUUGAACUGGUGUUCCAGAUUAAUGCUUCACUGAUGCCGAGAAUUAUUACCAUGAUAUCCCAUACCUGGGAUACUAGACCUACAGCAGCAGUGCUCUUGGACAUUUACCUGGAAAACCAAUAUCUAACAUCAUCUGGGAGGUGAGAGUGAAGGACUUCACACAUAUUGUUUUCUCAGCACAGGUAAAUGUUUGGGAAAAUCUUUGAAUUUAACAGAGAAAAAAAGUACUGCAUAAAUUGUGGUCAAAAGAACAAAACAAAACAAAACAAAACAAACCAUUGCUUGGCUUUCCAUAUUCCCUGGGAGCAGCUGCUGAUGUCCCUCUAAUUUUAGCUGCUAUUGCUUUGAGCUAAACUUUCCAUUUUUAUUAAAAAAAAAUCUCAACUUUGAGUCUAGAGGAUUACAAGAGGCUGUGCUUUUGAUUUUUAAUAAAAAGCGAGCAUUUACCUCUGAACAGUAGCAGCAAGAAAGGAAUUAAACCCGAGGCUAGUGAUCUGACCUUUAGAGGGGUGCCGAUCCAGAGGGAGAUGAGGAAUUUAACACAUAUCCUUUUCUUUCUUAUGUACACACUUUCCAGCUAGGAUUAUUUUUAAUAUAUUUAUGUAAGUGGAAAAUGAUUUGAUUUUUGGAAAUUUUUUUUCUUUUAUGAUCACUCUGACUAGUUGACUACAAGACUCUCUGAGUGGAAUGCAAGUUUUUUAUGUUUGAGUCAUAUGCCCUCUGAAUUCUAAUGGUAUCGACUUUUAGGUAUAGAAUAGGAACUGUUGUCAUAUCAUUACGUCUACAUCAAGUUCUACUGAACGGACGCUCUGACACGAUGCUAGUAAAAGUGGUCAGACCAACAUGACUGAUAAAAUAUUACUUGCAUCUGGGUAUAAGUAUCCUUAGACUAUAAUCUGUUAAUAAAUAAAGUACAGUAUAUUUAUAUAUUUAUAUAUACAUAUAUAUUAAAUAUAGUAACUUUAGCUCAAUUUGCAUGUGAUUUUCCUAUAAACAGACUAUGAUCUAAAACAAAUGCUUUGAUUUCAGUAAGGAUGGUCUGUGACCCAUAAAUUCUGCUAGCAAAUUACUAUUUGCCUUGGUUCCCUCUCUAACAUAUUCUAUACAAGCAGACCAUGUCUCAGCCAAAGGAUUUUUCUGAAACCCUCCUUUUUAUUUUCCCAUUCGUUACUCCUGCUUCUGUGGACAGUGUCAGGUGGAUACCAUUGAGGUUGAGCGUCUGUGCUCCUAUUUGAAAUCAUUCAUAAUUUUAAUUUCCUCUGUCAAAUGGAUCACUACUCUUACAGUAUUUAAUUAUCCUUAUCAUCUAAAUGCCAUGCCUUCAGAGACAGCAUUUAAAGAAGCUCAAAAGACCAUCAGAGUAUAACAUGUUUCAAAGAGUUCUGUUUUCAUGAAUUUUGCCUUCAUGUGGAUAUUGUCAGUAAUUACAUGUGUACAGUAAUGACUAACUGCAUUGUGUUUAAUUACUUUUGAUAUUUACCUUUUAUUGCAAUUUUUUUAAGUAGAAUUCUUUCUUGGAGGCAAUUAAGAACAAAGGAUAGUCAGUAAAGGCCAGGCUGACAGUUGGCCUGGCAGAAGCACAAGCUUGCUGUGUGAGGGAUGGCAAUGUGGGGACAGACUGUGGACUUGGAGAAGGUCAGCCUGGAAGAACUUCAGAGAUCAUCUAACCUCUUUCUUCUGGUGGGGAGGCUCAACAGAGCAUACGUGUCUGCAUCUGUGACUUGAUGUGGAAUCUUCAGAUGAGUAAUUUAAUUUCUGGGUGCCUGAUCCACAGAAUCUACGAAUAACCCCCAAAUUCCCAUUAGUGUAGUAGAUGCUAUCCAAAGGAAUUAUAGGACUUGGCAUCCUUUGCCUCUAACAGAGAUAAGAGCGAGUGCUUUAUUUCUGACUUUACAGAGGACAUUUGUAUUGACAGGUUAAAUGCAGACUUCACUGAACUCUUAAGAAAAAUAGAUUCUCAAUCUAGUCCCCUACAUGUGAACCCGUUUCUCUACUACUGAUUAAAAUUAGAAUGCUCAAGCUAUAUAUACCACCUUCCUUUCUCACUUUAGCAUCACAAAGGAUGUGCUGGACUCUGAUUUAUCAUUCCAACCUUGCUCUUAAAAGCUACCCAAACAUCCUGUGGCCAAUGUGCCUGACCUUUCCUCAACUUUCAUUGUCCUUUCUUUCAUCUAUGGCAUUAAGUCCUAUACUGGCCUCCACAUUUUAUAAGAACAAUUAUUUUCUCUGCCAUUGUAAAUACUACCCAGUUUUAUUUUUAUCUCGAUACUCUUUGCAUGUAUACAUUAUCAUUCAACAUCCAUUUAUUAUCACGUUCUCUUUACUAGGUACUUUGCAAAGCAUAUAGAGAACCUUCAUGAAUAUGAAAUGACUCGCAAAACAGCCUAAAUAGCAUACCAAGAUUAGAACCCUUGAAAAGCACACGGUUAUGUGACAUAAUAUGAAUUCCAACCCAGCAGUAAACAUAGCUGGCCAGUGGUUUCAACUCUGCAUUCUCUGCUUCAGUAAGACCUAUGAUGGACCCUGAUUAUUUAGACUUUCAGAACUUAACUCCUCAUUGAAAGUUCAAGGCACUGUGUCCAUUGUUCUUGUUCUUUGUUUCUCCUUGCUAGUCGUUUCUUACUUAGUCUCUCCAUACAAAUGGUCAUUCUCCUUGACACAGUGAUUUUGUUGAAAUUUUAUCCUCUAUUACUAAUAUCGCCCUUCAUCAGACAUAGAUGUCCAAGCUGUUGAAUCUUCUUUGCUCUGAGCACUUGGAAUCUUAUCUGAAUUAGUGAGUUGUUUCCCUAUGAAUGAGGUCAAUUUCCGAACAUGUCGUUAAGGUUUCAAACAUUAGUUUUCUAUUAUGUACUAAAGACAGUGUAUUUGGCAGCUCAGUUCUGAAGUCUGUGUUCGUCAUUUUCUAGUGAAGUGAUAGGUCCAUGAUUCUAUUUAAGAGGAUAUGAUUAGUAUAGGAACAAUGGACUUCAGGGAAGGAGAGUGUGAAUGAGACUAGACAUUCUGGUACAUUUGUGAAGCUAUUUCAUUCCUUAAAGAGGAUUUAGGAAGGCAUAGAUGGCUUCUGGCAUACUGGAGGCCUAGUGGGGAGAGUGUUGGCGGGAAAGAUUGAAUUAUGAAUAUGAGCAGAUGGAAAGGUACAUUCACCAAAAUUCUGGAGGCUAGGUGUCUGGAAGUCUAUUUAGGGAGAUUGAAAGUCAUUCAGUUUAACAUAUCAGUAAUAAUCCCUAUAUCACAAUAUGGGAAGAACUCUGGACAAUUAGGGUGAUAGACUCAAGGCCCACUCUCCUUUGAAACGUAGGGUCAUUCUGUUUUGGAUCAAUUAUCCAGUUGUAUUACUUAAUUGUUUGUUAAAUAACAAUAUCACCUCAUUCUGAUUUCUGAGGAUUGUAGGGGUCACCUUUUGUUUUUCCUAAAAAAAUGAUUUAUUCAUGGACACUAUACAUGGUAUUUUUAGAUGAGUUCAGCUUUAUAUAAAUGCUGACAGUUCUAAAAACAGCAGUACUAAUGGUCAAGCUUAACACUUGGUUCAGCAACCCCAGAGGGCUUCCAAAAACAAGCAGGGGAGCUGAGAGUGGAAAAUGGCUCCUUAAACUACCUGGUCUGUCUUUUCCAGUUAAACCCAUAACUCUAUUCAGCGACAGCCAGUUUUCAUAGAUACCAUCUUGAAUUUUACCUUCUUUUCACUAAGGUAGACCUAUAUCCUACUUUACAGGAGGGGAGGCAUUGUGUAUUAUCUUUCUGAGUUCCCACCCCUCUUUCUUUUUAUUCUUUGAUUAGUAUUUAGCAUGCUAGUUGUAAUUGAUGUGGUUUUGGAAUCUGUAUUUCCCACUAGCCAAUGAAUUCUACUGGAAGCAUCUUGAAAGUUUUUACCAUAUGUCUGACACUGUACUAAAAGUUUGAACAUUGAUAAUUUGUUCACCUUCAUAAUAUUUCUAUGUUGUUUGCAGAACUCUUUUAUAAAUUGUGACCUCACAGAAUCACUUAAUUAUCCAUAUCAAUAAUUAUAUGCAGAAGCCAGAACCUGAGUUCUCAAAUAUAUUAGAUAAGAACAUAGGGAGCCUCAUCUCUAGUCCUAGGUCAGUUACACAUUAUUUUCUUGAUAGCAAGUGAAUAUAAUCAGGCUCAGUGCUUCAUUUCUUCCCAUGCUCAUUAUUGUGAGAAUUAAGUUUUAUGGCAUGUGUGUUGGCAGUUAUAGGAGUUUUUGUAGAGGCUAUGUUUUUAGUAAAUGCUUGUUUUUCUCCCAUUCUGAUGGUUCUCUGUCUUAGGAGUUCUAUGAACCGACCUUGACUUUUGCAAGCCAUGUUACGUCCUGCUCAAUCUGUGCCUUGGUCCCAUGGGCCAAAAGGUGCUUGCCCUCACUUAAGGAGGAAACACAUGGGCAGCACCAGAUGAUUCCUGAGCAGACAGAAUGGCAGAGGGUUAUUGUAGCUGUCACUUCAGUGACCCAUGGUCUCAGAGGGCCAUCACAUCUGUGCAAGGCUCCCUUUGGCUGUGCAGGGUGCACCGCCACAAGCUCUCUCUGUAUUGCUAACGUGAGUUACACAUGUAAUUAUCCAGGCAGCUGGUUGAAAUAUCUCCACAGACAGUAGAGUUUCAUCAGCAGAAGGGCACACAGUGUUUCAUGUGACUCCUGCAUGGCACUGCUGAGUGUUGUAAAGUGAUGGUGAUUAACUAAAGGACUAGUUACAAAGUCAUGGAAAUACGCUAGCAGGCCACCAUAGGUGAAGGUGGAGAAAGGAAGGCAUCUGAGACGGUCAGAAAACUACAAAAGCAACUGCAAGGGAUUACAAAGGGAUUUGUACCUAUGAGAUCCUCACCAGAGUAAGCUUUUCUUCAAAAGAGUUGAAGGCCCAUUUACUGAGCCAUUAGCUUUGACUGAGACCUUUGCUGAUAAAUAAGAUGGAAGGUAGUAUUUUAGAUUUAAAGUUCGCUAAGUGGAGUACAUACUUCCUGUAAAUAGAUAUAUGCCUACAGAUUAAUACAUGUACAAAGUGAACCUACUUCUAAGGAUACACUGUACAUGCUUUUUAAGAAGAUAAUUGUAGUAAAAAAAACCAGUGCAAUAUUUUAUGAACUUCCAUGUUGUCAGGAGCCAUGUGAGA